rnacentral:rRNA from 1 species
CGCGUAGGCUGCGGGGCAAGUCGGGUGUGAAAUCUCAGGGCUCAACCCUGAAACUGCACUCGAUACUGCUCUGCUUGAGGACUGGAGAGGAGACUGGAAUUCACGGUGUAGCAGUGAAAUGCGUAGAGAUCGUGAGGAAGACCAGUGGCGAAGGCGGGUCUCUGGACAGUUCCUGACGCUGAGGCGCGAAGGCCAGGGGAGCAAACG